rnacentral:rRNA from 1 species
UACAGAGGGUGCAAGCGUUAAUCGGAUUUACUGGGCGUAAAGCGCGCGCAGGCGGCUAUCCAAGUCAGUGGUGAAAGCCCGGAGCUCAACUCCGGAACUGCCAUUGAAACUGUUUAGCUUGAGGAUGAGAGAGGUGAGUGGAAUUCCCAGUGUAGAGGUGAAAUUCGUAGAUAUUGGGAAGAACACCGGUGGCGAAGGCGGCUCACUGGCUCAUUACUGACGCUCAGGCGCGAUAGCGUGGGGAUCAAACAGG